CCCUUAGAUGUCCUGGGCCGCACGCGCGCUACACUGAACGGAUCAGCGCGUUUUCCCUUCCCGAGAGGGACGGGUAACCUGCUGAACCCCGUUCGUGGUAGGGAUCGGGGCUUGCAAUUAUUCCCCGUGAACCAGGAAUGCCCAGUAAGUGCAAGUCAUAAGCUUGCGUUGAUUACGCCCCUGCCCUUUGUACACACCGCCCGUCGCUACUACCGAUUGAACGUUUUAGUGAGGUACUCGGACUGAGCCUCAGAAGAUUCACGUCUUUUGUGCUGCUCGGGAAGAUUCCCAAACUUGAGCGUUUAGAGGAAGUAAAAGUCGUANCA
rnacentral:rRNA from 1 species